rnacentral:rRNA from 1 species
AGGGAAUAGAUACCCGGAUAGUCCUGGCCCUAAACGGUGCACGUUUGCUGUAAGAGGAAUCGACCCCUUUUGUGGCGAAAGCUAAACGCGUUAAAAACGUGCCGCCUGGGAAGUACGGCCGCAAGGUUAAAACUCAAAGAAAUUGACGGGGCCUGCACAAGCGGUGGAGUAUGUGGCUUAAUUCGAUGCAACGCGAAGAACCUUACCUGGCCUUGACAUGCACAUAGUAGAAGCCUGAAAGGGUGACGAGGUAGCAAUACCAGUGUGCACAGGUGCUGCAUGGCUGUCGUCAGCUCGUGUCGUGGGAUGUUGGGUUAAGUCCCGCAACGAGCGCAACCCCUGUGUCCUGUUGCCACCCCUUAAUUGGGAGCACUCUGGACAGACUGCCUCGCUUCAACGAGGAGGAAGGUGGGGAUGACGUCAAGUCAGUAUGGCCCUUACGGCCAGGGCUGCACACGUACUACAAUGCCCGGCACAGAGGGAAGCAAGACCGUUAGGUGGAGCAAAUCCCAAAAACCGGGGCCCAGUUCAGAUUGUCGUCUGC